rnacentral:lncRNA from 1 species
AGGGACGGGGUUUCUCCAUGUUUCCCAGGCUGGUCUCAAACUCCUGGACUCAAGCAAUCUGCCCACCUUGCCUCCCAAAAUGCUCCUCCAAAAAAGGAGUGUGCCGCCACACCCAGCCUGAGCAACUUUUGUUUUUAAGCCUGUCUGUUAGUUGUUUGCUUAUACAGACAAGGAAUCUUUAGGGGCCAUGUAUUGAAGAUGCAGGUAGCAGUGUUCCUGAACGUUUGCAAGGAAGACAUCAGUCACUCUUUCACCCUGCCAAAGCUUCACUGUCCUACUGAUUGAAUUGUAUGUGAGAAAUAAAAUGUCAUCAUAUUAAGCCACUGGGAUUUGUAUGUUUAUCUGUUAUAGCAGCAAGUCUUAAUUUACCUAAUACACACAUUGUGACAGAUGUUCUUAAUGUCCCACCCCAUAUUGUUACAUGUCCAGCUUUGAGAUCCCUGCAUGUGGGGUAGAGUUUCUGGCAUGCUGAUCAAUUCCCACUUUAAGCAUCUGUGCCUCUGUGCCUCUGUGCCUCACUGUAUGAAGGAUUUAUCUGGCACCAUAGAAACUUACCAUGCACAGUGACAACCUAGAAGAGUGAGAGAGAGCCUCAGCCAACAGGGGACCAGAGUCAGUGGAUAAGAUGCUUGAGGCUUUCCAUCUACCAGUGAGAUAAAUAUGAAGCAUGUUUCAUAUGGUUCUCAGAGGGUUCACAGUGGGAUUUAGCCCCAGUGCCCACAGUACUCUGCUCGUUAACGUACUGUUUAUAUUGGCCUUUCUCCAUUCCCCAUCUCACAUAUACUUCCUGGAAUCACAUCAAAUAAACUGCACCUAAGGUCUUCUAUCUAGGUCAGCUUUUGGGGGACCCAAAAGAAGACACAUAUCUAAUAUAGCUUAUCUCACAUUGCUUUAAACCUUUGUGCUUAUGUCUAUGUCUUCCACUAGAUUAUGAGACUCCUAAGGGACUAUAGUAGGUAGAAUUUUAGAUGGCUCCUAAGAUUCCUGCUUCCUGGUACACAUGCUCUGAACAUAUACACCAUGGAAUACUAUGCAGCCAUAAAAAAUGAUGAGUUCAUGUCCUUUGUAGGGACAUGGAUGAAAGUGGAAAUCAUCAUUCUCAGUAAACUAUCGCAAGAACAAACAAUCAAACACCGCAUAUUCUCACUCAUAGGUGGGAAUUGAACAAUGAGAUCACAUGGAAACAGUGGCAUUUCUAAAUAAAGUCUGAUCACAAGCUUCUAAGUGUACUAAUACUUACUACAUAGCAUUACUACUAGAAACAUAUAAGUAAGAUUCUUCUUCCAAAAGUUUAAGUUUCUGUUCUGGAUUAUAAAAGCAUAAGUAGCAUUAUUGCUUCUAAAAUUCAUAUUUAAGGCUCUUAGUAAUAGCGAUACUAUAUUCAGAGAUGAAGAAGUAUAAUAUUUCCUUAUAAUAAAAAACUCUACUAUAAAUUUUCUUGAUUAACUUUUAUCCUGUUUUCUACAUCAUAACUGAUAUUAGAACUUCCUUAUUUCAAAGGAAUAUUUCUUAUUCCUUCUUAGUCCUUAGGAAUAUAACUGAUUUUUGUUGCUUUUGAUAGGUAAGUAAAUGAACAAACAGAUGGAACUAUAAAAAAUUAUUUACAGGACUGAUAAAUGUGCUUGCAUUUGUCACAUUUUAGAGCUAUGUCUAUGAAUAGUAACUACUAAUCUUUUCUUCAUUUUUCUUCAGGACUGAAUUUGUAAGAAAAGUUUUUGUAUUCUCCUAAAUUGUCACAUCAUAGAGACUAUAUUUCACUUAUCAAAAAGCUUCCUGUGAGACCAUUUCUCCAUUGGUAAGCCUUCAAACCAGUAGGCUAUAUUUGCUGCAGUUAAUCAUAUAAAACCAUCUGCCAGCAUUAUGAGAAAAUCUUGUCCCAUUCAAAUUCCUGAAGACAUAUUCUGAUUACAAAAUGUUUCAUAGGUAUUGAAGCUUAGGAAAACUAAAAUUAAGGUUAGACUAUAUUUUAUUAACAACUGCAUGUUGAUUACUUUUGUUAAUGAAGGAUAAAAAAUGAUCACUAUUUACAUUCUUAUAGUUAUUAACAUUCAAUUAUCAGAAAUAAAAUAUUGUACACAGGAAUACAAGUACCUCUGGAAAGUUUACUUUCCAAGUAGAAUUGUUUCAGAGUUUAAAUUUGUACUGGCCAAAAAAAAAAAAAACUUGUACUGGCUUGGAACUUUAUAAGUAAAUUGUUAUUGAUGGUGGGAUGGGGCUGAGUGGUAGCCAGAAAUGGAAGUGUAUUUUAUAUUCAUUUGCAGUCAGCAGAAAAAUCCAAAAUAAUCGUGGCUUAAACAAGAUAUUAUGUAUUUCUGUCUCACACAAAUGUCUGGAAGUAGAUGAUUCCCCCCAGAUGCUGUUCUUGUGACAGUGCAUAAGUUCUCACGAGAUCUGAUGAUUUUAUAAGUGACAGUUUCCCUGGCCUUUCACGCUCUCACCUGCCCCCACAUAAGACGUGCUUUGCUUUCCCUUUGCCUUCUGCCAUGAUUAUGUUUCCUGGGACCUCCCCAGCCAUGCAGUCUGUGAGUCAAUUAAAACUCUUUUCUUUUUAAAUUACCCAACCUCAGGUAUUUCUUUAUAGCAGUGUGAAAACAGACUAAUACACAUCUCUUUUAUCUCUGUCCUCCAUCCCUCACUUCUCAUUCUCACAAUAGGUAACCACUCUUAUUUUCCAUUUAUUGUCCAGGUAAUUUCUAUGCACAUGCAAUCCAAGGUAAAUAUAUGCAUUUUUUCUUUUUAAAAUUUUAUUUAUUUUUUCCAGCUUUAUUGAGGUAUAACUGAGAAAUAAAAUUGUAUAAAUGUAGCUUGUACAAUGUGAUGUUUUCAUAUAUACAGUAUGAAAUGAUUACCACAAUUAAGCUAAUUAACAUAUCCAUCACCUCACAUAGUUAUCAUUUUGUGUGCAUGUGGUGAGAACUUUUGAGAUCUACUCUCUUAGCAGUUUUCAAGUAUACAAUUAUAUUGUUUUUCUUUUCUUUGUUAUACAAAUCCUAUGUUUGACACUGGAUUAUCAAAUUUUUGAGUUUUGUUAUUCUGAUAGAUGAAAAAUGCAUCCAAGUAUUGUUUGUAUUUCUCUCAUAGUGAAAGAGGCAAAACAAAUAUUUAAGAGCCACUUGUGUUUCUUUUUCUAUGAACUUGCAAUUCUUAUCCUUUGGCUGUUUUUGUAUUGGUUGAUCUUUUACCAAUCAAUUGAGAGGAAAAUUUUAGUUACUAGGAAAGAGUUUUCUGUCUCUGGUAGUUGUAAAUCUUUUUCCAGAUUAUCAUUUUUCUUUUAACUUUGCUUAUGAUUGUUUGUUGGCUUCAGAGGUGCAAGUAUAUUGGCAGAUGCCUACUCAAGAUAGGCCAAGGAACCCUGAGGGAUGUCGGCUAGCUUUCUGUGCUGCACAUUGAUGUCCUCCAGCACCUGCCAUGAAUGCCGCAACUAUGUCAAGUUCUUCUGGACCAGCAUGUCUUUCCACUAUAAUUCAUUCCUUAGUUCGAAGAAAUCCUCUUUGAUAGCAUUAUCUGGUUUCUGGACAGAUAAUUGCAAUCUUUUUGAAGAAAAAAACAUCCUAUCUGUCUUGCAAUAUCCAGAAACUCCUGGAUACACUGAUCAACACCAGUUUGAAUUUCUUCCUGAUUGGUGCCAUUGACAUACUUCUGACUCACCAGAGAAGCAAAGCAAGCCUGAAAAUAUGACUUCAACUUUUCCAUCAAGGUACUGUCAUAAGGUCUUAGAGAACCUGGAGCUUCCUGAAGAAGCAAAGCCUAGCUUGGGAGUUCCAGUGGGGGUGGUGGGGGACCCAGUGGCUCCACAGGGAACAUAACACCUGGUGGAGCUGCCAUAUCUUGAAUGAGAUUUCUUUUAAAGAGUCAGUGGAGAUGUUAACUAGGCAGUUGAAUAUGAAUCUGACAUUCAAGAGAGUAGUCCAGAACAAAUACAUAUUUGAGAGUUAUUGACCAAGAGAAGGUAUUAAAGCCAGGAUUUCACAGAGAUAAGAUAUUAUAAUCUUAUAGGAUAACUGGUAUAUGCAGACUGUCAUUGACAGAAAUGCCAUUAUGCAAUGCAUGACUAUAUAUUACAGACAUCAGUAUGCUUCCUCAUAAGCACUUUAGCAUGCAUAUAACUAACUACAGUUCAAUAUUUUAAAUAUUUUUUCCUCCUAGAGGUAAAAUGUAUAUUAACGAAAUGAAUAAAACUUAAAACUUAAAUUAUGUUUUCUGAGCUUGAGAAAUGCAUAAGACUAUGUAAACCAAAUUUCUAUCAAGAUAUACACCAUUAACUUUACUCUAGAAUAUUUUUAAGGUCUAUUCCCAGUCAAUCCCUGCACCUUCUUCCCCACCCAAGAGGCAAUCGCUAUUACAAUUUUUUUUCAUUAUAGAUUAAUUUGCCUUUUAUAGAGCUUCACAUAAAUAGAAUAAUAUAUUCUGUACUCUUUUGAAUAAGGCUUCUUCUACUCAGCAUAAUGUUUUGGAAAUCCAUCUAUGUUGUGUGUAUCAGUAAUUUCUUCCUGAUAUUUCUAUUUUCUGUUAUAGUCUCUAGUUCCAAAUUUUGGCUUAGAAAACUGAGAGGGAAAAGAGCCACAAAGAGUAUUAGGUUAAUUUUUCAUAUUAACUUACAUUUAAAAAUUCUUAACAAGGGAAAAUUCUAGUUAUCUUUCCAAGCUUUUAUAUUAAAUUCAGAAAUAGGGUUCUGGGCUGGGCGUGGUGGCUCAGGCCUGUAUUCCCAGCACUGUGGGAGGCUGAGGUGGGCGGAUCAUGAGGUCAAGAGAUUGAGACCAUCCUGGCCAACAUGGUGAAACCCCAUCUCUACUAAAAAUACAAAAAUUAGCUGGGUGUGGUGGCAUGUGCCUGUAGUCCCAGCUACUCAGGGGGCUGAGGACAACAACACACUUGUGUUCAUUGUGGAUGUUAAAGCCAACAAGCACCAGAUGUGAAGGACAUGUUUGCUUCCCUUUCCACCAUGAUUGCAAGUUUCCUGAGGCCUCCCUAGCCAUGCUGAACUGUGAGUCAAUUAAACCUCUUUCUUUUAUGAAUUAUCCAGUCUUGGGUAUGUCUUUAUUAGCAGUGUGAGAAUGGACUAAUACAGAGGUGUGCUUUAUUAAUAAUGCUACUCAUUUGUUUCCUAAUUUGCUUUAAUAGAGAAGAGCAGUUUCCUUGGCCUGGAAUUGUACAAAAGCCAUGGCUUAUCUUUUCAUGGCUUAUCCUAUUGAAAGUGACCUCUAUCAUCCAAGAAGGCUCAUUCACGUGGCUGAUAAUUGAAACUAACUUCUUUCUCACUCAGGUGUAGUAACUCUGUUUUGGGGGCUUAUUUCCUUGCUUGCUUCCAUAGAUGGGCCUAUCUUUCUUGCCAGUGAUUGGUUCAGGCCUAAGCCAAUUAGUGCAUAGUUUUCCCAUUGGUCAUGGUAGAUUGAGAUAUGGUUUAAUAAAAGUGACUUUGAAUACUUCAUUUGAUGGUUGCAGCAAACAAGCUUCUCUGUCUUUACUCGGAGGAACCUUGUUUGCUGAUCAUGAACACCUCAAAAUCAUGAGGGAAAGCCAGCCUAAGUAGGAAGCCAAAAAAGAGACAAGUGUGGAGCUGAAGGAAUUGUAGGGAAAUAGAGCUGGAGCCCUAGACAAAGAAUGCCCGAAUCUCCCCUACUUCCAAAUACUUCAGGAACUGAGCCACUACAUCCACUUAAUUGUUUAAGUUAGUAUGGGUUAGGUUUUCUGAUAAUUACAGGAGAAAGCAUUCUAACCGAUCGACGCAGCUAAUAUAAAUGACCAAAAAAAGGGUGAAAUAAAAGGAUGAGAUUAACAGUUGUUACUUAUGAAAUAAAAGAGAAAUAGACAAAUCUUCAAAAAUGUAAAUCAAUGAAUCAACAAAAAAUAGAGAAAAAAAUUUUUCCUUUUCAAUUUUCCAGCAGCAUUCUGAGGUAAAAUCAAUAGUUUUCCUCCCAAAUAAUAAUUUUUGAGAGAUAUAUAACUUAAUUGAUCAUUUGCCAAGUGAGAAAGGUGUGUUGAUAAUCAAGCUCUAGCCCCACACCCAAAGCACCCUUUUAAAAUUCAAACAAAUCAUUUCUUAAUUUCCUUGCUACUGCCCUUGCUGAAAUGUUUAUCUGUCCAUUCCCGCUUAGUCAAUUCUGCUUUGACUUCAAUACUUAAAUUUAACCUAAACUACUCUCUCUAGGAUCCUCUCUCAUUCAUAAUUCUAUCAAUGUAUUACCACACUGUUCAGUAAUUUUUUGCUUGCUAUCUCUUCAUUUCUGAGGCAAUUAUUGUGUAACUUUCAUUGUUUUUUAGGGGCUUUAUGCUAUCCCUUAUUCAUGGAAGGGCUCUGUAAUGAUAUCAAACAGACAGCUGUAAUGAGUUGGAGGUCUCUUUAAUGGACACCAAGUAGCUUGCCUUUUCAGAGAAGUUUCCUGUAGGGUUUUCCUGAUGGUAUAAUUUUAUGGAAGGCAGUACAGAAAGAGAACCUUUAUUGGGAUCAGAAAAGCAAAUGAAGGGUAAUGAGAACUUAACCCAGCACAGUGAAAGCAAUUCAAAAGGGAAAGGUGCUAGCCUGUGAACAUCAUGAGUAUGUGCAGAGUAUUCACAUCAGUGACAUACCAUCCAUGGACAGAGGACACAGAAGCAAGGAGCUGCUAAAUUCAUAAGACUGAGAUAGAAGUAGAAAGUAAUCUCUUAAUAUCCUGAAGCUGGGGCAUUGACACUAAAGAUUAAAUGAGUGCAAUAUGAUCGUUUGAAUACACUGUAAAUAAUACAAAAUUAUGUAACAACAUGUGUAGAAAAAACAGAGGCAGAACUUGAGGUCAACUGUCACGUAGGAAAAAAGAACCUUACAGAUGUGUUCUUUAAAACGCUAUCAACACCUCUAUCCCUGUACCAAAGAAUAAAUUAGAGUCAAUGCAGGAGGGAAAUGAAGACACUGAUUUUUAAUUUUAUAUCAGGAAUCUAUUUACUCAUUUAUUGAUCUAACAUAUAUUUUAUUGAAAGCUACUAAUGUGCCAAGCACUGUGGUAGGAGUAGAGAUACAAGGGUACAUGAGACAAAGAGACUCUGCUCUCACAUGUCUUUUGAGUUACACAGAUAUUGAACAAAUACUUAAAAGUAUGUUAAAUUUGCUCUUUCACUCAAUUCAUAAUUAAGUUUAAGCUUUUUUGUCAGGUUAAAUUGUUGGUAAAUAUAGCAAAUCCAGAUCAUUCACAGUUCUUGCUUCUUCUCUUACCUAUCAUGUCCUAGAUACAAUGGAAAUGUAAGGGUGAGCAAAAACAAACAUGGUUUCUACCUUCAAGGAGCUUAGAUUCUGGAGGAAAGUCAAAGAUUACUGAAACAAUUAUAUAAACACAUAUAAAAUCAAAAUUGAGGUCAGCAGGAAAAGAAGAAAGCUGAAAACACACUGAGGAUUAUGGGAGAGGGGCAAGUGCAUGAAGCUUCUCAAUGACAUACAGACACUCUAAAAGCUCAAGAGAUCAAUUAUUCAACUUCAAGAACUGAAAUUUGAACACAGAUUUUGAGCUUCCAAAUCAGGAGAAAAAGAAGUGUUCUAUAAGAAGUUUGGACAAGACUCUGCAAGAAGUUAAGAGCAGGUCCUUAAAGGCAACUGUGAAUUAACGGAGACUAGUUUUGAGAAAAUCAGUCCUGAUUUGUUUCUCCUGGAGUUUUCUUCUUUAUGUGAUCCUUCAUAAAAGAGCUGCUAAUAUGGGAAAGAUUGAAAUCAGCAAGUUUCUGGCUGUAAGCUAAAAGAGGCUCUUGAAUCAUAUUUCCGCCUGCUUAGCAAAUUUCUCUUGCGACAAUUGGAUGUUAUUUGGGGUUCCAUACUAGCAGGAAGAAGUACAAGCAAAGCUAAGUCAUUUUGAGAAUAAAUAUUAUCUCUCUAUAUAUUUGUAAAUGUUAUUUUCUUUUUUUUUGAGGUUUAUGAUUGAUCCUUGGCAUGUGUCCCCUUGUGUAUUGCUCUACUAAAAAUAGCCUAAAAAAGAAUUUUCCCCUCGAUGUGGAGCUGCAGCUGAUAAAAUAUUAAAAGAUUUGCCUUGUGUAAUGUCUCUGGAGAGCUGUCUUACUGAUGUACGAGGCCAUGAUUGACAACUUUGAGACUUUGCUGGAAGCGACAAAAGUAUAUCUAUAAUAUUAUGCUGAAUUGCAUAGGUCUUUCUUCUUAAAUGAGGCUAGAAAUAACAUACCACCAAGUGUUUGGCUUUUAGGAAAUUGAGCAUUUUCUUUAGUUCUAGCUGCAGUUUAAUUUCCUCAGAAUUAGACAUUAUGCGGUAUCUGGAACGUUAAAAAAAAA